AAUAUUUCACACUUUCACUCCUCUUUUUCUCUCUCAGUUUGAUUGUUUAAGGCAAAUGUGAAAUAAAAAACAAAUAAAAAUCUCCAUCUUCGGUUGUGCACCACACCAUCAUUCCAUAUGGCUCUGGCCACUGCUCGACCUCCCGCCAACUGCCACACAUAUUAUCACCACUUCUCUCUCUUUAUCAAUUAAUUGUUUGGGUAAAAUGUGGAAUAAAAAAACAAUUAAAAACUAAUUUUCAUUUUUUCCCCCUUUAAUUAGAGUCCAAAGUCUAUCAAAAACGUAAGAACGGGCAAAAUGUAUUUAGUAGGGAAAACUGUGAAAAUAGUAAUUUAAUAUGCAAAUGUAACUUCUCCUUAGAAAAAAACAUAAAAGAAAAAGAU
rnacentral:lncRNA from 1 species